ACAACUUGGUCAUUUAGAGGAAGUAAAAGUCGUAACAAGGUUUCCGUAGGUGAACCUGCGGAAGGAUCAUUAUUGAAUACGAUUGGGACUGAUGCUGGCUCUUCACUGAGCAUGUGCUCGUCUCAUUCUUAUUUAUCUUCUCUUGUGCACAUCUUGUAGUCUUGAAUGAACCCCUCGCAGUCAAAUGCGGUUUGGGAGACUGGGCGUCAGCUCUUCUCCUGCUUGUUCAAGGCUAUGUUUUCAUAUACACUAUAAAGUUACAGAAUGUCUUUUAACGAUUGUGCUAGUCGCAGUCAUUAAAUCUAUACAACUUUCAGCAACGGAUCUCUUGGCUCUCCUAUCGAUGAAGAACGCAGC
rnacentral:misc_RNA from 1 species